AGCUACCAGAUUAUGAGAAGCGUA
rnacentral:siRNA from 1 species